rnacentral:rRNA from 1 species
GGAGUCUGGGCCGUGUCUCAGUCCCAAUGUGGCCGUUCAUCCUCUCAGACCGGCUACUGAUCGUCGCUUUGGUGGGCCGUUACCCCGCCAACUGGCUAAUCAGACGCAGGACCAUCUCCAAGCGAUAGCAUAUGCAGAGGCCAUCUUUGACCGGAAGCGCAUGCGCUCUCCCGGCAACAUUCGGUAUUAGCAGCCCUUUCGGACUGUUGUCCCCAUCUUGGAGGCAGGUUUCCUACGCGUUACUCACCCGUUUGCCACUAGGCUCAUAAAAGCAAGCUUCUAAUCGCCCCGUUCGACUUGCAUGUGUUAAGCACGCCGCCAGCGUCGUCUGAGCCACGGAGUCAAACUACU